CAUCCUCCAGCCUCAGCCUCCCAGGUAGCUAGGACUACAGGUGCACCUGACACCAUGCCCAGCUGAGAAACAAUUAUUAAUGACCAAUAAUGAAUGACUUUGGGUGGAGCCGUGAGCCUGGUUUUCUCCUGUGGUUCCCACAUGUCAAGAUUGAGAGAUCACAUGACCUUACAUGAACAUGAACACAGAGACCCCCGCUUUGCUGUGUGAGUGACUGUGAGGGUAUUUCCCACAUAGCUCUCCCCGUGGACCACAGAGGGAGGCUUCUCUCCAACAGGCAGUGUUGCCCCAGGGCUUCCUGGCUAAGAAACGGAAGGAGACGAGGGCUCCCAGAGCAAAGCCCAGGUAAGAAGUUCCCAUUCUAAGAAUUCUAACAUGGUUUACUUUUGGGAAGGAAGUGUCCCAGGGAGGACGGUCUAUGAUUGUGUGAGCCAACAUUGGUAAGGUCAAGACACAAAUCAGCACCUCCCGAUGGUGUUUGUUAGUAACUGUGGCUCUAGCAAAUUAAACCAAAUUUGUACCUUCUGUAUCUCAGGGUCUUGUUUUACUAAGGCAAAGGAAAGAGCAAUGAUCUUGACUGUGCUAUGUGCCAGUUCCCACCACCUCCCUGGCUCCUCAAAGUGCAGUUAUGAAAUGGACUCAUGCUCUCAACCUCUGUUGGAGUCAUCUGCCUCAUUCCAGCAAGCUUCCAUUUAUGUUCAGGGCCAGUGAGUUUCCAGGGAAAGCAAUUUUCUCCUUGGAGCCACAAACAUUGACCCGUAACAGUCUAGUAACAAGCACCACAAUGCCUAGAGAAAAAAUUAAAAUAGACACACUUUGAUCUUUGACACUGUCCUACUAGAGUUCUAGUGAUUUUCCAUUGUCAGUCGCUGAGGACAGCCAGAGUAUGUCUGUAUAAACAGGCUUUCAUACUGAAAACUAGCACAAUAGCAGGCACUGAUGGAAACUAAAGCCAACAAACAAACGAACUCCCAAACUGAUAGAAAAGAUUAAAAGUCUGGAUGGGCACGGUGGCUCCUGCCUGUAAUCCCAGCACUUUGGGAGGCUGCGG